rnacentral:lncRNA from 1 species
AUAAAAUGAGAGGAAAAGAGCACCUGAUCGGGCUGACAUCAAGAGAUCACAAGUGUUUGCAGGUUUUCCAGAGUGUUUAGGAAUAAAAGAGCAGUGAGUCAAAGUGUGUGGAAGAAGGAGCAGGAGCAGAGGAAAAGGUGUUGGUCCCAGCGGGUGGGAAAGAAUUAACAGUGCGGAGAGUAGGGGGGAGGAAGGAGAAUUCUCUGCCCUGACAAAAAAGGUGAGCUUCCAGAAACCUGGGACCUCAGUGAACUUGCAAGACGCCUCUAAUAAAGAGAAGCAGCAUGACUUCGCUGGGGAAAGACGUGCAGUACCUCGCCACUGUGUAGUGUUCCUACCGUACAGACACCACAGACACGAUUAACCUCGAGAGCAUAGAUAUUAGGAAGAGGAAAACAACUGAGGAAAACUGUUGAAGUGAUGAAGAAGGAGGUUACCUUCUAGGACUCCCCCGGU